rnacentral:rRNA from 1 species
GGAGGAAGGUGGGGAUGACGUCAAAUCAUCAUGCCCCUUAUGAUCUGGGCUACACACGUGCUACAAUGGCCGGUACAACGGGCAGCGAAGGAGCGAUCCGGAGCGAAUCCUAAAAAGCCGGUCCCAGUUCGGAUUGCAGGCUGAAACUCGCCUACAUGAAGUUGGAGUUGCUAGUAAUCGCGAAUCAGAAUGUCGCGGUGAAUGCGUUCCCGGGUCUU